rnacentral:lncRNA from 1 species
AACAGUGACGAGAACUCCUCUUCCUCGCGUUCUACUCGACGGCGGCUCCAAGGCAGACCAGCGGCGACGGCGACGACAAGAAUGAACGGCGACGAAGGUGGCUGGCUCCAGCGACGGUGACAGGUCAUGAUGAGGACGACGAUGACGACGGCACGGCGGCUUUCCUUGGCGGCAAGCUCGCAGCAGACGCGACGCCACCCUCCUCUAUUUCUCUCUUCCUUCUCGGCGUGGGUGGAUGGCACGACGGCGAGCAAGACGCGGCUGGGUGUGAUGGAGUGCGGUGGCGGCGCUGCUCCUCCCUCUUCUUCGCUGGCGCUCUCUCUUCCUGUCUUCUCCAUAUGUGUGCGUGCGUGUGUAUAGUGAGGAAAUGAGUGUGAGUUCGUUGGUGAGGCUGAGAGUGAGAGAGGUAAGUCUCUGUGUGUGUCAUGUGGUGAGGGUAAC